CAAUAGCGUAUAUUAAAGUUGUUGCAGUUAAAAAGCUCGUAGUUGGACCUUGGACCUGGACAGGCGGUCCGCCUCACGGCGUGUACUGUCUUGCUGGGUCUUUCCUCUUGGUGAUCAGUUGUUUCGGCAGCAGGGAACCAGGACUUUUACUUUGAAAAAAUUAGAGUGUUCAAAGCAGGCUCGACGCCGGAAUAUAUUAGCAUGGAAUAAUAAAAUAGGACGUGCGGUUCUAUUUUGUUGGUUUUUGGAAUCGCCGUAAUGAUUAAUAGGGACAGUCGGGGGCAUUAGUACUCACAUGCUAGAGGUGAAAUUCUUGGAUUUUGUGAAGACUAACUUCUGCGAAAGCAUUUGCCAAGGAUGUUUUCAUUAA
rnacentral:rRNA from 1 species